GUGAGGAAUAUUGGUCAAUGGGCGAGAGCCUGAACCAGCCAAGUCGCGUGAAGGAAGAAGGAUCUAUGGUUCGUAAACUUCUUUUGCAGGGGAAUAAAGUGCAGGACGUGUCCUGUUUUGUAUGUACCCUGAGAAUAAGGAUCGGCUAACUCCGUGCCAGCAGCCGCGGUAAUACGGAGGAUCCGAGCGUUAUCCGGAUUUAUUGGGUUUAAAGGGUGCGUAGGUGGUUUAAUAAGUCAGCGGUGAAAGUUUGCAGCUUAACUGUAAAAAUGCCGUUGAAACUGUUAGACUUGAGUGUAAAUGAGGUAGGCGGAAUGCGUGGUGUAGCGGUGAAAUGCUUAGAUAUCACGCAGAACUCCGAUUGCGAAGGCAGCUUACCAAGCUACAACUGACACUGAAGCACGAAAGCGUGGGGAUCAAACAGGAUUAGAAACCCUAGUAGUCC
rnacentral:rRNA from 1 species